rnacentral:rRNA from 1 species
UACGUAGGGUGCGAGCGUUAAUCGGAAUUAUUGGGCGUAAAGAGCGUGUAGGCGGCCAUUCAGGUCAGCUGUGAAAACUCGAGGCUCAACCUCGAGACGUCGGUUGAAACCGUUUGGCUAGAGUCCGGAAGAGGAGAGUGGAAUUCCCGGUGUAGCGGUGAAAUGCGCAGAUAUCGGGAAGAACACCCGUGGCGAAGGCGGCUCUCUGGGACGGUACUGACGCUGAGACGCGAAAGCGUGGGGAGCGAACAGG